AACGCACCUUGCACUCUGUUUUGCAGAGUAUGCCUGUUUGAGAAUCUACUGACUUUUUCAACGGUAGUUGAGACCUGAGUGAUGCGGUUACGCUCACUUGAAAUCAGUAGUGCUGGACGCGCAGAACAGCGCGCUCUGAACCAGAGAGAUGAAGGGUUAUCCCACUUCCUUUGAGUCAGAGUGUCCUGCGUGGGCAGACCUUUAAUUCAAACUUGGUCUCAAAUCAGGUAGGAGGACCCGCUGAACUUAA
rnacentral:misc_RNA from 1 species